GGAUCUGAGGGCAGUCUGGCUGUGACAUUGGUCACUCCAUUGAUCACCAGGGUUGAUUUGGCUGAUUUGGCUGGCUGGGGGGGGGGUCCCCUUCCUCCCUUACUGCUGCAUGUGCCUGUCCCUCCCUGAAGCUGCAUGCUAGAUGGAAGAAGAUGACCUUCCCUGAUAGAGUGAAGGACUGUUCUUUGGCCGAGGGUAUACAAGUGGCUGCACUCCUCUGCUAGAACCGCCAACCAAGCUCUCAGGGUCCAUUUACAGGAGAAUGUAGGGUAGUCAAGCUUCCAAGACUCCAGACAUAUCCAAACGAGGCGCUGCACGUGGACGUUAGCCUUUCUUA
ensembl:misc_RNA 7SK 7SK RNA